rnacentral:rRNA from 1 species
UACGAACUGUGCAAACGUUAUUCGGAAUCACUGGGCUUAAAGGGUGCGUAGGCGGCUUGUUAAGUAGGGUGUGAAAUCCCCCGGCUCAACCGGGGAAUUGCGCCCUAAACUGGCGAGCUGGAGUGAGAUAGGGGUGUGUGGAACUUCCAGUGGAGCGGUGAAAUGUGUCGAUAUUGGAAGGAACGCCAGUGGCGAAAGCGACACACUGGGUCUCAACUGACGCUGAGGCACGAAAGCCAGGGGAGCAAACGGG